rnacentral:rRNA from 1 species
CCUACGGGUGGCUGCAGUGGGGAAUAUUGGACAAUGGGGGCAACCCUGAUCCAGCCAUGCCGCGUGUGUGAAGAAGGCCCUCGGGUUGUAAAGCACUUUCAGUGAGGAAGAACGCCUGGUGGUUAAUACCCAUCAGGAAAGACAUCACUCACAGAAGAAGCACCGGCUAACUCCGUGCCAGCAGCCGCGGUAAUACGGAGGGUGCGGGCGUUAAUCGGAAUUACUGGGCGUAAAGUGCGCGUAGGUGGCUUGAUAAGCCGGUUGUGAAAGCCCCGGGCUCAACCUGGGAACGGCAUCCGGAACUGUCAAGCUAGAGUGCAGGAGAGGAAGGUAGAAUUCCCGGUGUAGCGGUGAAAUGCGUAGAGAUCGGGAGGAAUACCAGUGGCGAAGGCGGCCUUCUGGACUGACACUGACACUGAGGUGCGAAAGCGUGGGUAGCAAACAGGAUUAGAUACCCGGGUAGUC